rnacentral:rRNA from 1 species
UAGGGAAUAUUAGUAAUGGGCGAAAGCCUGAACUAGCAACGCCGCGUGUGCGAAGAAGGCCUUCGGGUUGUAAAGCACGUUUUGAGAGGAUGAGGAAGGACGGUACUCUCAGAAUAAGUCUCGGCUAACUACGUGCAAGCAGCCGCGGUAACACGUAGGAGGCAAACGUUAUCCGGAUUUACUGGGCGUAAAGCGCGUGCAGGCGGUUUGGACAGUUGGAUGUGAAAGCUCCUGGCCCAACUGGGAGAGGGCGUUCAAAACUUCCAGACUAGAGACGUGUAGAGGGGGGGGGAAGUCCGGGUGUAGAGGUGAAAUGCGUAGAGAUCCGGAGGAAAACC